rnacentral:tRNA from 1 species
UUCUAAUUAUGCUAUAGAGCUUUUGUUAUUUACAUUAACAUUUAUAUUUGUGCAAUUCAAGUUAAUUAGAAA